rnacentral:rRNA from 1 species
ACUGCUAUCGGGGUGGGACUAAGACAUGCGAGUCGAGCGUCUCUAGUUAUGUUGAGACGCGGCAUACGGCUCAGUAACACGUGGCUAACCUACCCUCAGGACGGGGACAAACCCGGGAAACUGGGGCUAAUAUCCGAUAGGUGAGGAAUCCUGGAAUGGUUCUUCACCCAAAGGACAUUGGAAACAUGCUUUCUCUGUCGCCUGGGGAUGGGGCCGCGUCCGAUCAGGUUGUUGGUGAGGUAAUGGCUCACCAAGCCUUUAACCGGUACGGGCCGUGAGAGCGGUAGCCCGGAGAUGGGUACUGAGACAAGGACCCAGGCCCUACGGGGCGCAGCAGUCGCGAAAACUCCGCAAUGCACGAAAGUGUGACGGGGCUACCCCGAGUGCCGUCCGCUGAGGAUGGCUUUUCCUUGGUGUAACUAGCCGGGGGAAUAAGGAGAGGGCAAGACUGGUGUCAGCCGCCGCGGUAAUACCAGCUCUCCGAGUGGUAGGGAUGAUUAUUGGGCUUAAAGCGUCCGUAGCCGGCUUAGCAAGUUUCCUGUUAAAUUCAGCGACCUAAUCGUUGAGCCGCGGGAAAUACUACUAGGCUAGGAGGCGGGAGAGGUCGACGGUACUUCUGGGGUAGGGGUGAAAUCCUAUAAUCCCGGGAGGACCACCAGUGGCGAAGGCUGUCGACUAGAACGCGCUCGACGGUGAGGGACGAAAGCUGGGGGAGCGAACCGGAUUAGAUACCCGGGUAGUCCCAGCUGUAAACGAUGCGGGCUAGGUGUUGGGGUGGCUACGUGCCACUUCAGUGCCGCAGGGAAGCCAUUAAGCCCGCCGCCUGGGGAGUACGGCCGCAAGGCUGAAACUUAAAGGAAUUGGCGGGGGAGCACCACAAGGCGUGAAG